GGUUUGAUCAUGGCUCAGAUUAUCGCUGGCGGGAUGCUUUACAUGUAAGUCGAACGGCAGCACGGACUUCGGUUCCGGUGGCGAGUGGCGAAUCGGGUGAGUAAUGUAUCGGAACGUGCCUAGUAAAGGGGAUAACCACGCGAAAGCGUGGGCACACCGCAUACGCCCUUCGGGGAAAGCGGGGACCCUUUCGGGCCUCGCACUAUUAGAGCGGCCGAGUAUUUUGUGGAUUAGCUAGUUGGUGGGGUAACGGCUCACUAAGGCGACGAUCCGUAGCUGGUUUGAGUGCACGACCAGCCACACCUGGGACCACACGGCCCAGACUCCUACGGGAGGCAGCAGUGGGGAAUUUUGGGAUUAAUGGGGGAAACCCCGAUCCAGCCAUCCCGCGUGCGAUGAAGGCCUUCGGGUUGUAAAGCACUUUUGGCAGGAAAAAGAAAACGGCACGGGAUAAUACCCCGUGCAACUGACGGUACCUGCAGAAUAAGCACCGGCUAACCAUGCCAGCAGCCGCGGUAAUACGUAGGUGCAAGCGUUAAUCGGAAUUACUGGCGUAAAGCGUGCGCAGGCGGUUCGGAAAGAAAGAUGAAAUCCCAGAGCUUAACUUUGAACUGCAUUUUUAACUACCGAGCUAGAGUGUGUCAGAGGGAGGUGGAAUUCCGCGUAGCAGUGAAAUGCGCAGAUAUGCGGAGGAACACCGAUGGCGAAGGCAGCUCUCCGGAUAACACUGACGCUCAUGCACGAAAGCGUGGGGAGCAAACAGGAUUAGAUACCCUGGUAGUCCACGCCCUAAACGAUGUCAACUAGCUGUUGGGGCCUUCGGGCCUGGUAGCGCAGCUAACGCAGGAAGUUGACCGCCUGGGAGUACGGUCGCAAGAUUAAACUCAAAGGAAUUGACGGGGACCCGCACAAGCGGUGGAUGAUGUGAUUUACCCGAUGCAACGCGAAAAACCUUACCUACCCUUGACAUGUCUGAAUCCCGAAGAGAUUUGGGAGUGCUCGCAAGAGAACCGAACACAGGUGCUGGCUGUCGUCAGCUCGUGUCGUGAGAUGCUAAGGUUAAGUCCCGCAACGAGCGCAACCCUUGUCAUUAGUUGCUACGAAAGGGCACUCUACAUCGAGACUGCCGGUGACAAGCCGGAGGAAGGUGGGGAUGACGUCAAGUCCUCAUGGCCCUUAUGGGUAGGGCUUCACACGUCAUACAAUGGUCGACAGGGUCGCCAACCCGCGAGGGGGAGCCAAUCCCAGAACCCGAUCGUAGUCCGGAUCGCAGUCUGCAACUCGACUGCGUGAAGUCGGAAUCGCCAGUGACCUGCGGAUCAGCAUGUCGCGGUGAAUACGUUCCCGGUCUUGUACACACCGCCCGUCACACCAUGGGAGUGGGUUUUACCAGAAGUAGUUAGCCUAACCGUAAGGAGGCUGAUUAUCAUUAGAUUCCAUGACUGGGGUGAAGUCGUGGUCAAGGUAA
rnacentral:rRNA from 1 species